AACAUUUUUCAGUCUAAGCAAAGACAUAUGGGCUAAGGUUUUUUCUGAAAAUUAAGUACUAUAUUUUAGGCUCAUGCCUCUGCUUGAAACUGAUGGUAGCCUUGUACUGCUGAUGGAGAAAUCAUCUUCACAGCCACUUGAGUGUCAUCUAGAACUCCAUAGUAAACCAUCCCAAAACCUCCUUUACCAAGAAUUCUCUCAAAAUUGUUGGUCAUCACCACAACUUCCGCAUAAGUGAACUGAUGUCUCCUUUUCUCCAAUGAACUGCCUAAAUGAGUGUUUGUCUUUGCCGGAUCCUUUUUCGAAGAAACAUUCUUAUCUUGUUGUUUCUUUUUUGAUUUAGAAAUCAAAUAAAUAAUUGCCGCAAUUAUGAGGAGUGCAAGCAAUCCACCCACCGAUGCUACUAUUGGAAUGAUGAUAUUAUUAUUGCUUUUCUUCCUUUCUGGUGUCAUCUUUGUGCAUGGCUCUAAGACAUGAAGAAGAAAGCAAGUUCAUGUUUCCUCCCUAUAAUGGACCUUAAUGUUAACUUACAGGUAUUGGAGGUGUGACAAUUGGAUCAGAAAAUUAGGUACUUCUCCUGCCAAGUAAUUGUUUGAUAAAUCCCUGAAAUAUAAGUACAUUUUUAUUGGCUUAGGUUCAAGCAUAAAAUUCUAAUAUAGUAAUGGGGAGACUCUUACAAUGUUUGUAACAUUGGUAGACCGAUUAUGUCUGGAGAUAUCUCACCCUUCAAUGCGCUUGAAGACAAGUUCCUAGUAACAAGUUAAUUCUCUUAUUAUAAAAUUUUCACUAGUUGUAAAGCUCAAUUUAGUAGGAUACAAUCACGGAAUUGAACUUUAUUUGUUUCUUUGUAACUCGAAGUAAACUUACAGUGAUAUGAUUCUGGGCACUAAAUCAAAACUACAAUUCAAUCCACUCCAUGGA